rnacentral:rRNA from 1 species
UGAGGAAUAUUGCACAAUGGGGGAAACCCUGAUGCAGCAACGCCGCGUGGAGGAUGACAGCCCUUGGGUUGUAAACUCCUUUUCUGUGGGACGAGAGAGGACGGUACCACAGGAAUAAGUCACGGCUAACUACGUGCCAGCAGCCGCGGUAAUACGUAGGUGGCGAGCGUUAUCCGGAAUUACUGGGCGUAAAGCGUACGCAGGCGGCUUGUUUAGUCUGACGUGAAAUCUCCCGGCUUAACUGGGAGAG